rnacentral:rRNA from 1 species
AUUGAACGCUGGCGGCAGGCUUAACACAUGCAAGUCGAGCGGGGUGAUGGUGCUUGCACUAUCACUUAGCGGCGGACGGGUGAGUAAUGCUUAGGAAUCUGCCUAUUAGUGGGGGACAACAUCUCGAAAGGGAUGCUAAUACCGCAUACGUCCUACGGGAGAAAGCAGGGGAUCACUUGUGACCUUGCGCUAAUAGAUGAGCCUAAGUCGGAUUAGCUAGUUGGUGGGGUAAAGGCCUACCAAGGCGACGAUCUGUAGCGGGUCUGAGAGGACGAUCCGCCACACUGGGACUGGGACACGGCCCAGACUCCUACGGGAGGCAGCAGUGGGGAAUAUUGGACAAUGGGGGGAACCCUGAUCCAGCCAUGCCGCGUGUGUGAAGAAGGCCUUAUGGUUGUAAAGCACUUUAAGCGAGGAGGAGGCUCUUUUGGUUAAUACCCAAGAUGAGUGGACGUUACUCGCAGAAUAAGCACCGGCUAACUCUGUGCCAGCCGCCGCGGUAA